rnacentral:misc_RNA from 1 species
AACGCACAUUGCGCCUCUCUUAACCGGGAGGCAUGCCUGUCCGAGCGUCGUUUUAAUCCAUAGACCUCUAUUGGGGUCUGUGUUGGGUCUCGCCCUGAGGGCGUCGCCUGAAAGACAUUGGUCUGGUGAGCGGAUGAGUUCCAUUAGGACCGGCCGCCCUAGGACCUUAAAGACACCUCUGACCCGGCCUCGGAUCAGGUAGGAUUACCGCCUGAACUUAA